rnacentral:rRNA from 1 species
UACGGAGGAUGCAAGCGUUAUCCGGAAUGAUUGGGCGUAAAGCGUCCGCAGGUGGCUAUGUAAGUCUGCUGUUAAAGAGUCUAGCUCAACUAGAUAAGAGCAGUGGAAACUACAAGGCUAGAGUACGUUCGGGGCAGAGGGAAUUCCUGGUGUAGCGGUGAAAUGCGUAGAGAUCAGGAAGAACACCAGUGGCGAAGGCGUUCUGCUAGACCUGUACUGACACUGAGGGACGAAAGCUAGGGGAGCGAAUGGG